UAGGAAAUAAAAUAAAAUAAAAUACGAAAAGAAAGAAAAGAGGUAAGAAGGAAAAAUGGAAAGAAAGAAAAAAAGGAAAGGAGGAGGAGGGAAUAAACGAAAAACAAAAUCAAGGGGAGGGAAUUCCACUCACGUUGGAGUCUUGGAGACCUCUUCCCAGCCCAAGUGUGAAAUAAAAAAUGAGAGAGAGAGAGAGAGAGAGGAGAAAGAAGGAAGAAGAAGAGGAAAAGAAAGGAAGAGAUUCAAGGAGGGCCAUACCUGUAGGGAGCGGAUUGAGAUUGCAAUCAAAGAACCUUCCGACUGCCAUUGAGAAGACGAGCUAAUCGCAACAAGACACAGAUGAUGGAGUAUCUGAGUGUGUGGACUGCAUUGUAGGCCAGGAGCAACAUGAUGUUGAAGAAGACGCAUGUUAGUUCUUUUUUUUAUUCUAAUGAUAGAGACAUUUAAUUAGUUAUUAUGAGAUAUUAAAUAAUGGUGUUGAAUGAUAUAUUUUGAGUUGAUUUUAUUUUUUUCCCUUUGGACCUUGUUUUGAAACUUGAAAUGUUGACGCCGCCACCAAGCAUUGAAAUAUUUAAAUA